GUUUUAAUUGCUAGUGCCCUCUGAUGAUGAUAUCUUAGUUAUUACUGGUCUGAACUUCACCAAACUUGCAUGGAGAUGUGUCUUAUGUAUACUGAUGCACCUGACAGGCUUGAAUACUGAAUCUGAGCCAUAGGUUUUGGAUGCUGGAUGAGGUUUAGUUUUUUUGGAACAGGUCUCAUGUUUUAUAGAUGAUAGCUUACAUAGUUGAUUUAACUAUAUUUAUAAAUGAAAUGCAGAGGUUUCUUCAAAUGCAGAGCCUACAUUGUAUACAUGUGCAGUUAUUUAAUUUGUUCAAACUAACGGUAAUGUAUUUUUGCAUCAACUUUUAAAAUGUAUACAUAAAGAAUGCUUAAUCACUUAAAGUUCUUUUGGAUCAAUGUUUAUUGUCUCAUAAUAAAAUUGCUCUCUU
rnacentral:misc_RNA from 1 species